GAUGAACGCUAGCUACAGGCUUAACACAUGCAAGUCGAGGGGUAACGAGAGGAAAGCUUGCUUUCCUUGUCGACGACCGGCGCACGGGUGAGUAACGCGUAUCCAACCUGCCCCCAACUAGGGAAUAACCUUGCGAAAGUAAGACUAAUACCCUAUAAUUUCCUCAGAUGUCAUCUGACGAGGAAUAAAGAUUUAUCGGUUGUGGAUGGGGAUGCGCCUGAUUAGCUUGUUGGCGGGGUAACGGCCCACCAAGGCAACGAUCAGUAGGGGUUCUGAGAGGAAGGUACCCCACAUUUGAACUGAGACACGGUCCAAACUCCUACGGGAGGCAGCAGUGAGGAAUAUUGGUCAAUGGGCGGAAGCCUGAACCAGCCAAGUAGCGUGCAGGAUGACGGCCCUAUGGGUUGUAAACUGCUUUUAUACAGGAAUAAAGUUAGCCACGUGUGGUUAUUUGUAGGUACUGUAUGAAUAAGGACCGGCUAAUUCCGUGCCAGCCGCCGCUGUAA
rnacentral:rRNA from 1 species